AGAGAACUCGGGAUCCCGUCCGCUCUCCCAUAGAUAAGCUGCGAAGCGCUGGAUUAGUAGUUGGGUCGGUGACGACCAGCGAAUCCCCGGUGUUGUAUGUA
rnacentral:rRNA from 1 species